GAAUUUUGGACAAUGGGCGAAAGCCUGAUCCAGCAAUGCCGCGUGCAGGAUGAAGGCCUUCGGGUUGUAAACUGCUUUUGUACGGAACGAAAAUCUUUGGGUUAAUACCCUUGAGUCCUGCCGGUACCUUAAGAAUACUCACCGGCUCACUACGUGCCAUCCGCCGCGGUAAUACGUAGGGUGCAAGCGUUAAUCGGAAUUACUGGGCGUAAAGCGGGGGCAGGCGGUUUUGUAAGAAAGAGGUGAAAUCCCCGGGCUCAACCUGGGAACUGCCUUUGUGACUGCAAGGCUAGAGUACGGCAGAGGGGGGUGGAAUUCAGCGUGUAGCAGUGAAAUGCGUAGAUAUGCGGAGGAACACCGAUGGCGAAGGCAACCCCCUGGGCCUGUACUGACGCUCAUGCACGAAAGCGUGGGGAGCAAACA
rnacentral:rRNA from 1 species